GACGUAGGGCGCGAGCGUUGUCCGGAUUUAUUGGGCGUAAAGGGCGCGUAGGCGGCUCGGCACGUCCGUUGUGAAAUCGCCCGGCUCAACUGGGCGGGGUCAGCGGAUACGGCCGAGCUUGAGCAAGCUAGGGGGCAAUGGAAUUCCCGGUGUAGUGGUGGAAUGCGUAGAUAUCGGGAGGAACACCAGUGGCGAAGGCGGUUGCCUGGAGCUUUGCUGACGCUGAUGCGCGAAAGCGUGGGGAGCGAUCCGG
rnacentral:rRNA from 1 species